UACGAAGGGGCUAGCGUUGCUCGGAAUCACUGGGCGUAAAGGGUGCGUAGGCGGGCAAGCAAGUCGAAGGUGAAAUCCCACGGCUCAACCCGUGGAAGUGCCCCGAUACUGCUUGUCUUGAGGGAGAUAGGGGCGUGCGGAACUUCCGGUGGAGCGGUGAAAUGCGUAGAUAUCGGAAGGAACACCGGUGGCGAAAGCGGCGCGCUGGAUCUCUUCUGACGCUGAGGCGCGAAAGCCAGGGGAGCAAACAGGG
rnacentral:rRNA from 1 species